rnacentral:lncRNA from 1 species
GGGCAGUGCUUGAAAGGAUUACAGUCCUUACCUCUGAAGUUAGAACAACGGACUGGAACAAACCCUAGUAUUGUUACUUCCCCUAACCCACGCAGAGAGCACAUAAAGAUUUUAUUUCUUUGAAGGAAAAAGGAGAAAGAAAUAUGUUUGCUCUAACAUGACGCAGAAAUCAAUGAUGAUGCUGUCUUAACUUGCUGAGCUUGGAGAAAGAGAAACGCUAGUAAAAUUUAAUACUCUGAAUCAUCAAAGGAUAAAUGGAAGAAGACAUCUUUAUAAAUGUUCUCCAUCUCCUCAGAGAAAACCAUAAAAGAAGAUAAAUUAGUUAAAAGAAGACCUACAGGAAGAGGGUGGUGUUCUGUGUUGGGAGGCCUGACCGCCGUCAGGAGCAGAAAGGAACCCACCCAUGGGCUGGCUGUGGCCUCAGUGAGUUCUGAGCUGCUAGGGCCCUGGCUUCAAUCUUACAAGUUCAAAAUUUAAUCUGAUCUUCAUUCCCAAACUGAUCCAGCUAGAGUAUAUUUUUCUCCCUCUCUCAAACAUCACAAAAGUAUAUUUAAAAUCACGACAAUCUUUAAAUUUAUAGAAUGAGA